GAUGAACGCUGGCGGCGUGCCUAACACAUGCAAGUCGAACGGAGUAUCUUAUAUAGACUUUCUUAGGAGAUGAAAUAUUAGAUACUUAGUGGCGGACGGGUGAGUAACGCGUGGGUAACCUACCUCAUACAGGGGGAUAACAACCGGAAACGGCUGCUAAAACCGCAUAACAAAGACUAAUCGCAUGAUUAAUCUUUCAAAUAUUUCAUAGGUAUGAGAUGGGCCCGCGUCUGAUUAGCUAGUUGGUGAGAUAAAAGACCACCAAGGCGACGAUCAGUAGCCGGCUUGAGAGAGUGACCGGCCACAUUGGGACUGAGACACGGCCCAAACUCCUACGGGGGGCAGCAGUGGGGGAUCUUGCACAAUGGGCGAAAGCCUGAUGCAGCGACGCCGCGUGAGCGAAGAAGGCCUUCGGUGUAAAGCUCUGUCUGGAGGGACGAAGGAAGUGACGGUACCUCCGGAGGAAGCCACGGCGUAACUACGUGCCAGCAGCCGAC
rnacentral:rRNA from 1 species